GGAGGGAUGGCUGAGUGGCUUAAGGCAUUGGUUUGCUAAAGAAAAUUGUAUCAUGGGUUCGAAUCCCAUUUCCUCCG
rnacentral:tRNA from 1 species